UGGCGAACGGGUGAGUAACGCGUGAGGAACCUGCCUCAAAGAGGGGGACAACAGUUGGAAACGACUGCUAAUACCGCAUAAGCCCACGGGUCGGCAUCGACCUGAGGGAAAAGGAGCAAUCCGCUUUGAGAUGGCCUCGCGUCCGAUUAGCUAGUUGGUGAGGUAAUGGCCCACCAAGGCGACGAUCGGUAGCCGGACUGAGAGGUUGAACGGCCACAUUGGGACUGAGACACGGCCCAGACUCCUACGGGAGGCAGCAUG
rnacentral:rRNA from 1 species